GAUGAAGAACGCAGCGAAACGCGAAAGGUAAUGCGAAUUGCAGAAUUCAGUGAAUCAUCGAAUCUUUGAACGCACAUUGCGCCCCUUGGUAUCCCGAGGGGCAUGCCUGUUCGAGCGUCAUUUCACCACUCAAGCCUGGCUUGGUGUUGGGCGACGUCCCCUUUGGGGACGCGCCUCGAAACGCUCGGCGGCGUGGCACCGGCUUUAAGCGUAGCAGAAUCUUUCGCUUUGGAAGUCGGGGCCCCGUCUGCCGGAAGACCUACUCGCAAGGUUGACCUCGGAUCAGGCAGGGAUACCCGCUGAACUUAAGCAUAUCAAUAAGCGGAGGA
rnacentral:misc_RNA from 1 species